rnacentral:rRNA from 1 species
GGCAGUAGGAAUAGGGAUUGGAGGACUGGGGUUGGUAGGGUGUGUAGUGCGGUACCUAACGCGGCGGCGGGACGAGUUGUCGGUUGCGGCAGCGGCGGACGGGGUAGGCAGCAGCGAGGGCGGCGUAGUUGGGAGACGGCGUAGGGUGACGGUAGUACUGGGUAGAGAGAGGAACCAGAAGACAGAAACUGGUUAUGACCCACCGCCGACACGAAGGCCAGCGCACCACCGCUACACCGACCAGCUCCCUUGUGUCACAAGGACAACACGGGGAAGUGUGUAACCUGGUAGCACCGCGUCUUCAUGUACCUCUUCUAGCGCGAGGAGAAUCGUUUAAGCCCACAAAACUCAACCGAUGGGUCGUUCCCCGUACCAGUGUACCUACUAAUCGUAGAAAACCGUUUUCGUACAAUUAAGUGACUUCUUUAUGAUGACGUGGAUACUGAUACUCGCCUCUACAGGUGAGUGCUAAAAACUCCUGGUGAACUCCUACACUAGUCAUCACGUCGAAGUUUCUACGAACUAUACUGUAUCACAAACUAAAAAUGUUUAGACUUUCAGUUCGGAUUCGUUACAAUGCCAAGUCUAGAUUUGGAAUUUGAAUGACUAAUAAACAACACGCAAUGAUUAGACUGGCCGGUAGCUAGAGGUGGAAUUGGAAUAAAUAGAAAGAAUAAUCGAGGUGCAGAGAUCGCAGAUAUCUCAGGAUUGGGUUCUUAUAGAGGACGGCGGAAGUCAGGUUUGGGAGCCGUUCUCAGAGGGGACGUAGGAGGAGAAGAGGAACGGCGGAUACAGAGGAAGAAAACGAGGAGCCCAGCGAUAACACUGCGCAGGCAGUAGAAAAAGUACUCCUCGAUCUACUAAAGUCAGACUCUAAUGUAGGAGGAUAUCUCUUAGGAUGGGAAAGGUACGACAGUGACAUCGGUCCAGAUCGUUUCCCCUAUUUAAAUACAACGUUUACUCUACGAUUUCAAAUAUACGUCUCCACACGUUGAGACAUAGGUAGUUGUAGGUAUGAAGUCCCACCUCAUCUCCCUCCCUCGUAAAUGGUCUCUACACAAAAAUCGUCGUAAUAAAAAUCUAUUUUAUUAAUAUGGACGAAAAUAGACAUUCGACGUGUGUCCCGUCUCCUACGUUAAACCAAAUCUUCUUCUUCUUUUGUGUAACUGUGAUACCGAAUAUUAAGAAUACUAUCAUAGUCUUUUAUAUACGUUAUACCAAAUCCAUUGUUUUUGUGUCGCAAUACAGAAGCAACCUUUUAAACGGUGAGGCCUCUGUAUCUGUCUGAAUAGUGAAAGUAGAAUAAUUACCAUAAAAGAAUUUCAUUCUUCUAUUUCUUCUCUACCCAAAUAUACUUCGUCCGGACGGCGUUGUCAGUUUUCUACUACAGAGUCAUAAAGUGUAAAUUUCGUUCCUGUUCACGAGUAUUUACUAAUAUACAUAGAUGAAAUAAUUUGAUCGUAUACUUGAUUAGGGGGCUUAGGUACAUGAGAUAUAAGAAUGAAUAACGUACUGCAAGAAAACGAAGAACUAUUUAUACAGGUAAAAGUAAUAAUAAAGUAUUAUAGACGAUACAUGUCACCGUAGUAACUCGUAAGGAAAUGAAAAGUGUAAAGUCAAGUUACAAGACGUGUCACGUGUCAUAUUACGAUGUAACCUACCGCGAUAAUUUAUGAAGCUCCAGUACACUGUCUCGUGCUUUUUUCUUGAUAGCUCUAGAUUGGUACUACUUCCGUUCGGGGAGGCUAACGAUAAUCCUUACACCUUCCAACUGGUCGGCAGAGAAGGAGAGGUAGCAGAGAGGUACCACACGUACAAUUCUUGAAUACGUCGUCGCCUGCGGUUAAAGUACCUCGGCAGUCGUAGUUGAAAACACCUCAGGAGAAGAUCCUAGACUAUGCUCAGGGAGGCUGUAGUCUAUUCCAAACCCAUACGUACUCCUGCUUAGCCUAUUAGUUAACGUUUGACUAACAUAGCAUACAACACAUGAUAGCUGCGUAAACGAACCCACCUUUUCAGAGCGAAGACUAAUGUCGUGAAAGUCUUCUGUCAUCUUCAGCAAAUCAAGUCGGGAAGACUAAACACAAUGCCACGAUAGCCUAUUUCGCGAAGUGAAGCGAAGCACUUUUUCAGGCUAGUGCCGACCUAUGUCCUAGGAGAGGUGAUGCGUAAGUGAGCGCCGGUUCGGUUUGUUUUGCGUAUAAAUCCUGGGUCCUCCUUUAUAGUCUCCGUUUCGAAGGGCUGUGAUUUUUAGUUUUUGCUAUGUUUGCACCUUGGUUUGCGGAGGGUAUAAAGAAGCCAAGGUGAACCUUUUGUAUCUAACUAAUACAUAGUUAUUUGGUACACAAUCAGUUCUGUUUUUGUACCUACACUUCGAGUCCAAACAAUUCAACAAACCGACAUGCACACUGUACCAAGUAUAUGUAUAACGAUCGAUGAAAUAAAAAGUAAGUAAUUAUUAUGAUAUAACUUCUUUUAAUGGUACAAUAAAACCAAUAGUAACAGUAAAUCAUAGAUUAUGAUAAAAUGGGG